rnacentral:pre_miRNA from 1 species
GUACUACUCCCUCCGUUUCGAAUUACUUGUCGUAGGAAUAGAUAUAUCUAGACAUAUUUUAGUUCUAGAUAUAUUUAUUUUUACGACGAGUAAUUUAGAACAGAGAGAGUAGGUG